GACGUAGGGGGCGAGCGUUGUCCGGAUUUAUUGGGCGUAAAGCGCGCGUAGGCGGCCGCGCAAGUCGGAUGUGAAAGCCCUGGGCUCAACCCAGGAAGUGCACUCGAUACUGUGUGGCUCGAGUACUGGAGAGGUUGGUGGAAUUCUCGGUGUAGAGGUGAAAUUCGUAGAUAUCGAGAGGAACACCGGUGGCGAAGGCGGCCAACUGGACAGAUACUGACGCUGAGACACGAAAGCGUGGGGAGCAAACAGG
rnacentral:rRNA from 1 species